rnacentral:rRNA from 1 species
ACGGGUGAGUAAUACAUCGGAACGUAUCCUGGAGUGGGGGAUAGCCCGGCGAAAGCCGGAUUAAUACCGCAUACGCUCUGAGGAGGAAAGCGGGGGACCUUCGGGCCUCGCGCUCAAGGGGCGGCCGAUGGCGGAUUAGGUAGUUGGUGGGGUAAAGGCCUACCAAGCCGACGAUCCGUAGCUGGUCUGAGAGGACGACCAGCCACACUGGGACUGAGACACGGCCCAGACUCCUACGGGAGGCAGCAGUGGGGAAUUUUGGACAAUGGGGGCAACCCUGAUCCAGCAAUGCCGCGUGUGUGAAGAAGGCCUUCGGGUUGUAAAGCACUUUUGUCCGGAAAGAAAUCAUCGGGGCCAAUACCCCUGGUGGAUGACGGUACCGGAAGAAUAAGCACCGGCUAACUACGUGCCAGCAGCCGCGGUAAUACGUAGGGUGCGAGCGUUAAUCGGAAUUACUGGGCGUAAAGCGUGCGCAGGCGGUGCUGUAAGAUCGAUGUGAAAUCUCCGGGCUUAACCUGCGAACUGCAUUGGUGACUGCUGCGCUGGAGUAUGGCAGAGGGGGGUGGAAUUCCACGU